rnacentral:rRNA from 1 species
CGCAGCUGAUCCAGCCAUGCCGCGUGAAGGAUGAAGGUCCUUCGGAUUGUAANACCGCUUUCAGUAACGGAAACGAAGACAACCUUGAGCGUAUAUACUCACAAGGAAUCAANUGCAACCGGUAUCACGCUAAUGAUGUCACAGCCAACCGCGGCUGAGUCAUAUACUAUCACAGGCUAGCACAGGCCGGUUAGUUACCGGUAAUGGAUGCGAAGCCGUAAAAUACGGCUACAGUUAACGUGCGGGCGUGUACAGGCCGGUCGCAGUCAGUGCAGAGAAUUCUAUGAAGGAUCAAAAUCGUCGAAAACCUCGCAGGUGCCUACUAACCGUGAGCAGAAANCUAGCAUGUUGUGUGGAACUUGUGGAUAAGCUAGGAAGUUGCCGUGGAUAGUAGGGGAUGGGAAUUGCCGCC